UACGAAGGGGGCUAGCGUUGUUCGGAAUUACUGGGCGUAAAGGGCGCGUAGGCGGCCUCGUCCGUCCGGCGUGAAAUGCCUGGGCUCAACCCAGGAAUUGCGCUCGAUACAGCGAGGCUAGAGUGUGGGAGAGGUUGGUGGAAUUCCCAGUGUAGAGGUGAAAUUCGUAGAUAUUGGGAAGAACACCGGUGGCGAAGGCGGCUAUCUGGACCGUAACUGACGCUGAGGCGCGAAAGCGUGGGGAGCAAACAGG
rnacentral:rRNA from 1 species